rnacentral:rRNA from 1 species
UACGUGGGGUGCGAGCGUUGCCCGGAUUUACUGGGCGUAAAGAGCGCGCAGGCGGUCGUUCAAGUCGCGUGUGAAAGCCCCCGGCUCAACUGGGGAGGGUCACGCGAUACUGAUCGACUCGAAGGCAGGAGAGGGUAGUGGAAUUCCCGGUGUAGUGGUGAAAUGCGUAGAUAUCGGGAGGAACACCAGUGGCGAAGGCGACUACCUGGCCUGUUCUUGACGCUGAGGCGCGAAAGCUAGGGGAGCAAACGGG